UUUAAUGUAUAAAUGAAAGAGGGAAUAUUUAUUUACAAGUAAGGUAUUAUAGCUACAUAUGAAAUCAUAUCUAUGAAGUAAAACCAUGUUACCUUGCAAUUUGAUUUACAUUGGUUUCAAAGUAACCCAAAAUAAAUAUAUGAGAGAGUAAAUUAUAUUUUAGACAUCACUAAAAUUAUCAGGAGAUGCAAAUUCACUGGAGCACCUUGAUUAUUUUCUACUUAAAGAACAAAAAUAUAGAAUCAUGUGUCCAAAUGAUUAAUUAUUGCUGAUAAAAUACAUUAAAAUUAAGCAAAAAGAUUCUGCAGUUUUGGAAAUAAGAAUGUUUAAAAAUGUUUUUUGAGAUUGUUUAAGAUGAUUAUAGCAUAUUUUUGUUUGUCUGUUAUACUUUAACCACUGCUUCCCUUCAGGAACUAUAAUAAUGGUGUUAAGAAAGGAUGUGUAUCUUUUACUUAUUUGGUGCUUUUAUCUUGAAGGAAGACAGGAUAUUUUCAGGAAUAACUCAGUUGUCUGUAACAUCCAAAUCCAUAUUUAUUCAGGAACUCAUUUUUGGUGUGGAUCGUCUGGGCCAUUUGUUUUUUUCUUUCAACUGCUGAUAACUUUUGUCUUUUUUUUUUUUUUUGCCUGAAACCUCUAUAAAGGAGAUACAGGAGCUGUAACUGAGAUAAAACACAAUAAAUCUCUAUCUGUUAGUAAUUCUGGUGAAACAGCCACAAGAAAGCGGCCAAACUAAUGUCUGCAAUGAAGACAUAAAAAUAUCUGUAGGAAUUAUCUAUUGCCUUCCUGUUAUCCACUACCAUGAACCACUGAGAAGUGACGAGAUGGUCAACAAAUUAUGCAUUGAUGUAAGCAUAAAGAGUUUUGAAAUUCCAACUCUCUCUUUCCGUCACUCCCCUCUCUCUCUCUAAUACACACACACACACACACACACACACACACACACACACACACACACCAGAGAUGUAUACAUUAAACGAGGUUUAUUCAAACACCAGUGCUGAUGAUUCUUACCAUUCGCUAUGUAACCUGGUACGUAUAUAGCACGAUUCCCAGGAACAGAGUGGGCUAGGCCACUUAUGCUGGAGGAGUAACUGACAUGCACUUUCAAGCUGUAGCUACCAUUUACAGCAAAGGAGAAAAAGUACCUUGAGUAAAUUCCAUCAUUUUUUAUAAUAUCAGCACCUGAAUAUAUAUAAAAAAAGCUCAAUGUCAACACUGUCAUCACAGUUGAUUACUAAUAUUUAAUUAAAAUAAAUAUGCUUUAAAAUAAAAAAUAGGCUUUACUCCCCUGGUUCUUCCCAUUUUAGCUUAUACUGUCGUGGUUCUAGUUACUUUUAAUAUUAAAAUCCAGUGGCUCCUUAAUUUCUCCCUGUGAUUCCUAAACCUCUGAAAAAUUAUUCUCUAAAGGUGAAUGGACUCUAUUUCAGUGCUAAUAAAACAUUUAAUUAUCAACUUUAGAGCUCUCCUUAUCGUUAUAAAUGAUACUAGUUUUUCAGGGAAACCAAGCAUAUUCUUUUUGUUUAUGAGACCCUUUUGAGAUAAAAGCUAUUCUGUUCCUAGGAAAUAAAUAGAGAUGCACAUAAACACAUUUCAUAAAAUUGCAAGGGGUUUAUGAACAUCCUGCAGCCCUCAUUGGGGGGAAAAAUCUGGUAGUUGAUUAAGUCGUGUGAAAUUAUUUAAUUUUCUCGUUAAAGGGUACAUGGAACUGUUGUUCUAGAUUCUAAGGGGCUUGCUGACUUGGAGGUUGACAGGCUUUGUUUCUGUCCACUGUGCUUUGCUUUAGGAGGCAUUCUGAAAGCUUGGCCAGUGCUAGGUUACUUUCCUUUUACGCUGAUCCUUAGAGAGCAGUUCAUGUCCAAACCAAGUCCAUGACUGAAGGGGGGAGGCAGGAGGCCUGGGAGAGUUAGACUCCAGGGUAGCAGUGGACGGCAUAGCUCAGCCCAAGUGCAAAACACAUUCACUAUUCACAUGCAGAUGACCACCCUGGGCAAAUGGCUUGUCCUAUCCUAGAGUCAGUUCAUACCACAUACUCCACUUUGGACCCUAGCCCUGUAUCACCACUGCAGUGUUCCUGAAUCCCCACUGUGGAGGCAGGGCUGCUCCUUAGCAUGAGAAAAGUAGGAGUAUAUUUAAUUAAAAUACAAAGUGCUAAGCAACUUAUUAUCAUAGUAGGUUUAGAAAAUUUUCUUUUUAUUUUAGAGAGAGAGGGAGAGGGAGCACAAGUGGAGCAGAGGGGCAGAUGGAGAGAGAGAGAGAGAGAAUCUUAAAGCAGUCUCCAUGUGUAGCGUGGAGCCCUAUGUGGGGCUUGAUCCAACGACCCUGGUAUCAUGACCUGAGCCAAAAUCAGGAGUUGGACAUUCAACUAACUGAGCCACUCAGGCAUCCUGGAAAUUUUUUUUUGUCUAUUGGAAAGAAAUGAAAUCUUGGUAUUUAGUGGUUUACUGAGGAAUCAGGUCUACCUUUGUUAAGAAAUGAUAAAGGAAAAUCUCUCUGCCACAGUUACCACUCCCACCUCCCUUAAUCACUAAGUCAGAAAGAAAUGGGAAAGAACACUAGCUCAGGUGUCAUGGGACUUGAUUUUGAGGUCUGGAUCUGCCACUCAGUAGCUGUGAAACAACCUCUCUGAGCCUCAAUUUUCUCAUCUGUAAAACAGGGACAACUCAUCUCACAGGGCUGUUGUGUUGAGUAUUUCAGAGUAUUCAUGAGAAAGUACAUUUUAAAUUAUGAAGCAUUUCAUAAGUAUACAUUUUUAUUAUUGUUCAUUAAUUUGGAAGCAGGUAAAUACUGCUUCCAUUAUAAAAAUAAGUGUUAGCUAUGUACGUGUGUUAUAAGUAUUGGGUUUUAAAAAAAAACCCUAAAUUUACACUUUGAUGCCUAAGCAAUACUCUCCAUUGUUUCUUUCAUUAGAGCAUAAAUGUAGACAACAAAUAAAUGAAAUGGUUCCAGGGAAUAAAUACAAAAGUUGUUAAGCUGACGCAGGUGAUCUUUCCAAAGAGUACAGGAACUAUUCUCCAGGCCAGCCCGCAGACUGAAGCAAAGAAGUGUUCUGCAAAGUGCAUUUUUGGACUAUAUACAAAAGCUAAAAGGUGUGGCCAUGGAUAAGCAAUCAGAGCAUGAGAAGCUCAUUUGGAUCCAUUCCAACAGGCAAAAUGAGAGGACUUCUCUGGUGUCUCUCUGAGAUAGACUUGAAUUGAAAUCUUUUAAAGGAACUUUUGUUCCAUAAAUGUCAUACAAAUUUGCCAUGGCAGGAUGCUAAUAUGUUGCCAAAGCUAAGAUUCUUGAAAAACAAUGUAUCUUUGAAACACCGGAGAGCAGGAGUAUGGUUUUAUUAGUAGAUCAAACACUUGGGGCUGUCAACAUAGACUUCGAGGUAAAUUCUCAUUCUGGGGAAAAUUCUUAUUCUUUAGGGAAAGAACAGAACAGGAAAGAUAAAACAACAAAGGAGUUUGUUUUUAAAAGUCAAAGAGUCCAGGUGCUGCUCUUUCCUGGCCUGAAGCUGUGCUGUCUGUGAUGCAUGAUGAUGAGGCUCUGAACGCCACGUGCAGAAUGAGUGCUUGAAGUCGGGUUUUGUUUUCUUUUACUUUGUUUUCCCAGUGGUUGGUAGGAGAAUCUCUGGUGUGAUUCCACUACGCUUGCUGGCCUGGUGGUCUCAUGAGCAAAUCGCACAUGCAAACACACUGGCUCUGCCCUCUUAUCAACCCUGCUACUUGGCUAAAGAAUAGUCUAGGGUUAUCUCCUGGGUCACAAGUUCCAAUUUCCUCUUUAUAGCUGGGUCCGAGGAGACUACUACUGCAUCUCACUUCUUGGGUUUUCAUUUGUUAUUUUAAUUUUCUGAUCCUAUUAUUUCAGUGACUAAUACAGCUGGUGAAUCUUAGAGGAAUACCCGAAUUGCCACAAGGACAUAUAAGCCUGUUCCGUGUGACCUCAUUGUGUUACCAGUGUCACUGGCCAACCAAAAGCCAAGACCUAGGUGUCAAGCUACUUCCUCCCACCCUUUUGCUCACCCCACAGCCACACCAAGGAUCCUCAAGGGGACUCUUCCCAAGUUCACAUUCUCUUUCCUUGUGCAGAUGUGACCUGCAGCUACUCAGUAUGUCAGUGAUUCUCUGAGGACUUGAGACCCUCAAAAGAUUGGAUGAGGGGCGCCUGGCUGGCUCAGUCGGUUAAGCAUCCAACUUUAGCUCAGGUCAUGAUCUCGUGGUUUGUGGGUUCAAGCCCCAUGUCGGGCUCUGUGCUGUCAGUCUGCUUCAGAUUCUGUGUCUCUUUCUCUCUGCCCCUCACCCUCUGUCACACUUUGUCUCUCUCCCUCUCUCUCUCUCAAAAGUAAAUAAACAUUAAAAAAAAUUUAAAAGAUUGGAUGGGAAAAAUAAUUGAAGGAAUUUUACAGAUAAGCUUAAGAUUGAUACUGCAGCACCCUGGCACAACACCUCUUGAGAACAUGAAAAAUGACAAGACAUUGCCUGUUACCUGCUCCAUCGUCAAAAAGUUUCAGCACAACAGGAUCUGCAGUCUCUGGCUCAAUUGUAGCCGUUACAGUGGCAUUAAGAAUGGGAUAAAUCCCCUUUCUUACAUUUGCGUAAAUCAUCACAGGGUGGGGAAACCGGGGGCUGUCUCUUUCCACAAAGACUUCCACAGUGGCAGGGGGCAUGGCUGAGCUGGAGGCGCGAGAGGUCACCGUCACCUUCAAGGCUUGAAGAGAAUGGUGGGUAUUGUUCAGUGUGUAGGUCCAGAGCCCAGGCUGCAAAACAAAGCUUUUUUGUUUUGUCAAGUGUGAAGAAAAAAAAAAAAAAAAAAGCAUCCCUCAGUUUUAAAGCAUGAGCCUAAGCUUCUAGGGUUUUACUCCUUGUUUUGUUGAUGUUGCAUUUUUUAAAGGAAUUACAAACAAAUGUAGGAAAAAUGAUAUCGGUGAGGGUAUAACAAUUCACCAUUUACAUGGCUUUCACAGCACAACCCACUUUUAUCGUUAGGUAACUCUUCAGGGAAUUUUACCAUGAACUUAUUUGUUGGGAGGACACAUUUUGAUUCAUACUUUUAGAAGAUAAUGAUGAGUGUCCAGCCUGAAGUAUUUUGCAAAUAUUAAUUUGAGCCCCUUCACCCAAAAGAAAUUUCAAUGUUUUUAUUCCUUUUCUACAAUUGAGAAAAUUGCAGCAAAUUAAGUAAACAAUUAUGAUUUAUGUGAAUACCUGGAUUUAAAAAGCGAUAGCAUCCUUCCUUUCCUCCAUGUCCCUCAACCCCCACCCCCAAUAUACAGAAAUCUUAAGCAGCAAAACCCACAUACACUAUUAGAGACCAAGAAAAAGAGGAAUAUUUUUAAUAAGUCAGGAUCCUACAAUGUCUGUGUUAAUUUAUAGAAAUAUUGCUAAAUACCAUUCUAAGAAAUUCUAAAUACCACUCUAAAUACCAUUGCUAAGAAAUUUAUUCUUUGGAUGAGAUUAUACAUGAAUGUUUUCUUUUUCCUCAUUCUUGCUGUUACAUCUUAUUAAACCCUGGACAUAACAGGAGUAAUGAAGUAGAGCUUGAGGGAAAAGAGAGAAAGCAAGGGGUUAACUUGUGACUCAGUGUGGAAAGUUAAGAUAUCACCACACCCUACCCAGCCUUCUUCACUGGAAUUCGUGUGCGUGGCCAUUUUCUUGUGAAGUCAUGAUUCGCAAUAAUUUUUUUUUGUAAUCAUAACAUUAGUAAUAGACAUUUAGCACAGAUCUCUGUAUCAAAAACUUCUCUUUGGGUGUAAUAUGUGUUUUGCUACAGGGCCCCUGGUCCAGACUAAGAGGUCAGGCAAAGGGAGCAAAAAGUAGGUAAAGUGUUCUUGGCCCUUGUACAAAGAAUAUGAUGUAAAAAGAACGCGAUGAGUUGGGAGAAAAGUAAAGAGGAGCAGAGCAGAGGAUGUUUGGCAAGAGGGUUAAGAAAUAAGCUUGGGCAACAGUCAGAACGUCAAUGGCCCGAUAUGUAAUAGUAACCACAUGGAUUUUAUCCUGAGACCACCAAUGAGUUUUGAACAGGAGACAAGGUUUGGUCAGAUUUAUGCUUCAGAACAAUCACCGGGGUAGAGGUGAAACCCAGAGGCAGGGAAGCCACAGCACAGGUUUCCACGGUGACCUGGGAGCAGGAAAGGCCAAGGACUCUAAGGACUGCACUCAGGCAGUGCAAGAGUGGGCCUGAGCAAUCCCCCACCCUACUUGGAACCUUUAGUGGUUCCCUUUACCUUUAGGGUUCAGGCUCUUCUUGCCUUUCCUGGCAUACAGAGCCCUUGCUGACAUAGCUUCUGUUUAUGUGUUUAGCCUCAUCACUUCCUCUCUUUCCUGCCCCUAAAUCUCCACCCUACAUGCUGCUGUGUAGUUCAUCCAUGUUGACCUACUCUUCUAUGAAGAGUUAUAUUCUAUUUUUUCUGAGCCUUUCUAUGUGCUCUUUCCUCUGCCCAGAAUGUCGUUGACACCGCUGGCCCCUUUAGUCUCCAUAUUUCCGUUUUGAUGUUGUUACUUCCAGGAGGCCGUUACCUUCCCCAGAAGUCUGUGCAUCCCUCCUGGAUGCUCUGAGUACCCUGUUCUUAUUCCUAUCAUGGUGUUUGAUUGUAAAGCACCUAGAACAAGGUCCAUCACACAGCAGAUAUUCAAAAAUUCCCAUUGAGGAAAUUCUGACCUGAAUACGUUGUUGAAAAAUGUCUCCGGUUCCAGAGGGGAUUCUACUGAAAGCAUCAAUCAUGCUGUUGGAGUUUGAUUUAUCUGGAACAAAGAACUUUACACCUCCUGAAAUACAUGAUUGGGAUGUUAACCAUUAAAAUGUAUAAAAUAAAACAAAAAAUAGUAUGUGAGGUCUGUUGCAACAACCUUUUCCAUGUAAGAGGCUUAGUUUUGGGGAAGGAGGUGUAGCACUUGGCUGGCAUUGCAUGGCAUCCUGCCAGCCACAUGGUGAGCAGCAGAGGUGAGUAGUUUUGUGUGUUCUGUUCACGGCUGUAAUGUCAAGGUCUACACCUCUGUCUGGUGCUUGAUAGAAACUCAAUGAAUAUUGUUUGAAUAGUCUUGUAAUGAAGGUGAUUCCUAGACACUCUAGGUUCAUUGCUAUCUGCAGUGCUAUAUGUUUACACUUAUGCUUACAUUCUGAAAACAUUGUUUUCAAAAAUAAUUCAAUAAAAACCUAACUUUUAAUUUGUAAGUCAGCAAUACUCAUUUUUAUUGGCUAUAAGGACUAUAAGAUAAAAUUAUUCCAUGCCUCAUUUAGAACAAAAAAAAGAUAUGGAUCUUACAAUUUGGUAUGUGUCCUUAUCAUGAAAGUUAGUGCGUUUAAUCUUAAAUAUAUUUUUAGCUCUGUGAUUAUACAUGCUCAGAUUAGUUUAACAAAAAAAUUAUAAAAAUUAUAUUUCCAUUGGAUGUAUAUGAUUGGCACCUUCUAAGGAAAAUCUUUAAAGGUCAACACAAUUUUGGCAGAUUUUAGCAAUGAUUUUUGUGUUGUUUUCCUUAAGAUAGCUGUUUCUAUUUGUCUUUUUCCAAUUAAGCCACACAUUCUAUUGUCAUAAUAUGAGCUUCAUGGUUGGGAGUAUUCAAGUUAAAAGGCUUUGAAUAUUCAAUUUAAAAGGAAAUGCUCUAAAACAUAAGUGUUUACAAAUAUAUUUACCUGUAUGAUGUGAUAAUUCCUCCAGGUUUUCGACCACAGAUGAGCCCAGGGCAAUGGAAUGAAUGGUUGAACCACUGCUGAGCACAAUGAUAAAAUAGUUCAAGAAAGUUAUUUUGGUCUUGACUAUAGAGACAGUAAGUGAAGAAGCCAGGAAUUAAAGCACAUCUGCCUGGUUCCAGAGAUUAAGAUUUUAACCACUAUCUGAGAGCUAUGAGAUUUUCAAAAGAGUAUUUCUGCAAGGCUCCUCGAUUACUGCAUGGCUGAGGUAGAAUUUUGACCAAGCAAUUUUCUCUUCCAUACAAAAGGAUCAUGCUGAACUUCAAUAAACUAGGGGAAGAAGACCUACUGACAAAAGCCCAUCCAAAGUAAACGGGCCUAAAAGAAAACUAUUUUUAAAAAAGCAAACAACAGGACUAAUCCUUCAGCUUUCUUAAGUUUUUCUUAAAAUGUAUACUACACCAAAUGUGCUAACUAUGCCAAUUUCAUAUUGUAUCCCUGCAUUAUUAAUCUUCUGUUUCCAAAGGACCACAUUUUAUUUCCUUAUGAAUGUUUUUCUUCAUAUUUGACACCUAGGAGUUCAUCAUUUUCAGAGUGUUGUUUAUUUUUUUGUUUUUGUUUUCCUGUUUUAUUGUUGAAGUAUAACUCACAUACAAUAUUAUGUCAGUUUCAGGUGUACAACAUAUUUAUUUGACAGUUCUAUAAGUUACUCAACGUUCCUAAGUGUUGUAACUGUCACCAUACAUUAUUAUAAUAUUAUUGACUAUAUUCCCUAUGCUGUACUUUUAAUCCCUGUGGCUUAUUUAUUUUACAACUGAAAAUUUGAACCAUUUUAUCCCCUUUACCUAUUUCACUGAUCCCCCCACCCACUACCUCUCAGGCAACCACAAGUUUAUUCUGUUUUGCCUUUGUUUAUUUGUUUUGUUUUUUUAGAUUUUGCACAUAAGUGAAAUCAUAUGGUAUUUGUCUUUCUCUAUCUGACUUAUUUCAUUAAGAUAAUACUCUCUAAGUCCAUCCAUAUUGUCACCAAUGGCAAGAUUUCAUUAUUUUUAUGGCUGUGUGAUAUUCCGUUGUGUGUGUGUGUGUGUGUGUGUGUCCUUCUUUGUACCUUCAUCUAUUGAUGAACAUUUGGGCUGCUUCCAUAUCUUGGCAAUUGCAAAGAAUGCUACAAUAAAUAUAGGGAUGCAGGUUUCUUUUUGAAUUAGUGUUUUCAUUUUCUCUGGGUAAAUGCCCAGUAGUAGAAUUACUGGAUCAUAUGGUGUUUCCAUUUUUAAUUUUUUGAGAAACUUCCGUAAUGUUUUACACAGUGGUUGCACCAAUUUACAUUUCCACCAAAAGUGUAUGAGGGCUCUUUUUUCCACAUCCUUUCCAACAAUGUUAUUUCUCGUCUUUUGAUAUUAGACAUUCUGACUAGUGUGAGGUGAUACCUCAUCAUGGUUUUGAUUUGCAUUUCCCUGGUGAUUAGUAGUGUUGAACAUUUCUUCAUGUGUCUAUUGGCCAUCUGUAUGUCUUCUUUAAAAAUAUGUCUAGUCCGUUAUUUUGCCCAUUUUUAAAUCAGAUUGUUUGGUUUUUGGUGUCAAGUUGUACAUUAUUUGAAUUUUUUGAAUAUUUUGAAUACGAACCCCUUAUUGGCUAUAUCGUUUACAAAUAUCUUUUCUCAUUCACUAGGCUGCAUUUUUCUGUUAUUGAUGCUCUCCUUUGCUAUGCAAUUAUGUGUGUUCUUUAAAUAGUUAACUAAUUCUUAAAUAAACUUUUAGUUAUAUUCAUAGAUUUUCAAACAAUACAAGAAUAAUAAAAUAGUGUCUCUACUCUCUAUGACCACAUAACAUCUUUAUGCCAUGAGACCUAAAUUGCUUAGAUUUAUUCUUAAAGCUUUUAAAACCUAAUCAGAGCCAAAUAAUAAUAUAUUUUAAGAAGGAAAUUUCACACUCAUGCAUCAUUUUCCCUUGGUCAGCCAAAGAAAUGAUAAUGUCUGUAGGAUAGAAUACUGAGCUUACAAUAUAAGGAUAAGCAAUGUUAUUUUCUGUAUGAUAUUAAAACAAGUUAUUUUGAUUUAAAAAUUGUCUAUAUGAUAUAUUAAAUGUUCCAUACAUGAAAUAGUUAUAGUGAUAGUAAAUAUUGAACAUAUGCUACAACUUGGGCUGAAUUUGAAAGUCCUUAUUUAACUGGUCAAACAUCCUGGAUUUUUGCAAAUUAUGGUAAUUACUGGAAUCAUUUAUAGUUGAGAAGGAAAAGUAGAUUCACUUAUGCUACUACAGUUUUUUUAAAAAGACUCAUGUCUGAGGCCUCAAACUCUGUGGAAAAUAUCUGGAUGAAAAGAGAUAAUCAGAUCUAGCAGUCUCACUCCUUGGUAUUUACCUAAAGGAAUUGAAAACAUAUGUUUACAUUAAAACCUCUAUGUGGAUGUUUAUAGCAGCUUUAUUCAUAAUUGCCAAAACUUGGAAGCAACUGGGAUGUUCUUCAGUAGGUAAAUGGAAAAAUAAACUAUGGUGCGUUCAGGCAAUGGAAUGAGAUGUCAAACCAUGAAAAACAUGGAGAAAAUUUAAAUGCAUAUUACAAACUAAAAGAAACCUAUAUGAAAAGGACACAUACUGUAUGAUUUCAAUUAUAGGACAUGCUGGAAAAGGCAAAACUAUGGAGACAGUAAGAUCAGUGGUUGCUAAGGAUUUGCAGGAAGGGAGAGAUGAAAAGGCAGAGCACAGGAAAUUUUUAGGGCAGUGAGAAUACUCUUAUGAUACUGUAAUUAUGCAUUAUAAAGUCAUUAUGCAUUUGUCCAAACUCAUAGAAUAUACAACACCAAGAAUGAAUCCUAAUGUAAACUGUAUACUCUGGGUGAUAAUGAUGUGUCAAUUUAGCUUCAUCAAUUGUAAAAAAUUUUCCAUCUGGUGAGAGAUGUUGAUAAUGGAGGAGGUUAUGUAUGUGUGUGGACAGGGAAUAUAUAUAUCAUAUCUUGGAGUGUUCCUUUCAAUUUAGCUAUGAACCUAAAACUUGUUUUUAAAAAAUGUCUUAAAAAAAGAGAGAUAGAAUUCUUGAUUUUAUAUCAUGUGCUUUACACCUUAAAACAACCAUUGUUUACUAAUAUCUACCACCUAUGGGACACCUAUGAUUUAAUGAGACAGGGCUAUGUGCUCUACAAAUAUGACCACAAUCAUCACAACAAUCCUAUCAGGGAGAACUAUUCUUUUUUUUUUUUUUUUUAAGAAAAACACAGCUUAGAGAAGUAGAGUAACUUGCCCAAGACUUGUAGCUAGAAAACAUUAAUAUAGGUUGGUUUGUUUUCAAAGCCCUUGCUGUAGCCACUGUUAUUAUAACAACUCAUAUCAACCUCACCCCACAUUUAUGUCCAGCCCAAACUACAAUGGCUUAGUUAGUGCAGAACUGGAGUAGUUGCCUGUCUCAGUGGUUUCUGGUAAGGACCUCUUUCAACAACAGGUAAUAUGUUGCCCACUCCUAUAGACUAAAUGUUUAUAUUCUCCCCAAAUUUGUAUCCCCAUUGUGAUGAUAUUUGAAGGUGGGGCUCUGAGAGGUAAUUAAGGUCAUGAAGGUGGAGCUUUUCUCUUGGGAGUAGUGCCCUUACAAGAAGAGACGUGAGAGCACUCUUUUUCUCUCUUUCUCUCUCUCACUUUCUCCCUCCCUCUCUCAUAUGUGAACAUACAGCAAAAAGGUAUCCAUUUGAAAACCAGGAGGAGGUCACCAGGAAUUGAAUUGGCUGGCAUCUUGAUCUUGGACUUCUCUGACUCCACAACCAUGAGCAAUAGCCUUCUGUUGUUUAAGCCACCCAGUUAGUAGUUCUUUCGUCAUAGCUGCCUGAACUAAGACACCCACUUUCUCUUUAGUAAAAGUGAUGCCUUUUGUUCCCCAAGACUUUGUUCAGUCCUUGUUUAACUUACCCUGUGGACAACCUACCUUACGGUAAACGAAGUUAACCUAAUUGUAAAACUUAAAUAAAACUACAGUAGUCA